AGAGUUUGAUCCUGGCUCAGGAUAAACGCUGGCGGCGUGCCUAAUACAUGCAAGUCGAACGAGGGGCUUUUGUAGCAAUACGGAGGCUUCCUAGUGGCGAAUGGGUGAGUAACGCGUUGGUGACCUGCCCCGAAGUAAGGAAUAACAGUUCGAAAGGACUGCUAAUACCUCAUGUGGUCAUUGGGUUUAGAAACUAAUGUCUAAAGCAGUAAUGCGCUUCGGGAGGGACCUGCGUCCCAUCAGCUAGUUGGUAGGGUAAUGGCCUACCAAGGCUACGACGGGUAGGGGGCCUGAGAGGGUGGCCCCCCACACUGGCACUGAAACACGGGCCAGACACCUACGGGUGGCAGCAGUAGGGAAUAUUGCACAAUGGGCGAAAGCCUGAUGCAGCAACGCCGCGUGCGCGAUGAAGGCCUCCGCGUCGUAAAGCGCUUUUGGAGGAGAUGAGGAAGGACAGUAUCCUCAGAAUAAGGAUCUGCUAGCUACGUGCCAGCAGCCGCGGUAACACGUAGGAUCCAAGCGUUAUCCGAAUUUACUGGGCGUAAAGCGCGUGUAGGCGGUUUGGCAAGUCGGAUGUGAAAGCUCCUGGCUCAACUGGGAGAGGCCGUUCGAAACUACCAGACUAGAGGGCGACAGAGGGAGGCGGAAUUCCCGGUGUAGUGGUGAAAUGCGUAGAUAUCGGGAGGAACACCUGUGGCGAAAGCGGCCUCCUGGGUCGUUCCUGACGCUCAGACGCGAAAGCUAGGGGAGCGAACGGGAUUAGAAACCCCGGUAGUCCUAGCCGUAAACGAUGUAGACUUGGCGUCGGUGGGGUAAAAGCCAUCGGUGCCGAAGCUAACGCGUUAAGUCUACCGCCUGGGGACUACGGCCGCAAGGUUAAAACUCAAAGGAAUUGACGGGGGCCCGCACAAGCAGCGGAGCGUGUGGUUUAAUUCGUUUCUACGCGAAGAACCUUACCCGGGUUUGACAUACAGGUAGUAGGGAACAGAGAUGUGACCGACCCUUCGGGGAGCCUGUACAGGUGCUGCAUGGCUGUCGUCAGCUCGUGUCGUGAGAUGUCCGGUUAAGUCCGGUAACGAGCGCAACCCUCGCUGCGUGUUACAUGCGUCACGCGGGACUGCCGGUAUCAAGCCGGAGGAAGGUGGGGACGACGUCAAGUCAGCAUGGCCUUUAUAUCCGGGGCUACACACACGCUACAAUGAUCGGUACAAUGGGUUGCAAAGCCGCGAGGUGGAGCCAAUCCCCAAAGCCGAUCUCAGUUCAGAUCGUAGGCUGCAACUCGCCUGCGUGAAGUCGGAGUUGCUAGUAACCGCGCGUCAGCAUUAGUGCGGUGGAUGCGUUCCCGGGCCUUGUACACACCCCGUCACGUCAUGGGAGCUGGUAAUACCUGAAGCCGGUAUCCUAACCCGUUAAGGGAGGGAGCUGUCGAAGGUGGGACUGGUGACUGGGACGAAGUCGUAACAAGGUA
rnacentral:rRNA from 1 species